rnacentral:rRNA from 11 species
UAAUAUGGCCUAAAUAUCUUAACGGCAACAGAUACCCAUCUGAUCUCAGAAGCUAAGCAGGGUAUGCCCUGCUUAUAGUACUUGGAUGGGAGACAGUCAAUGAAUAAUGUGUGUUAUAGGCA